rnacentral:rRNA from 1 species
UAAUACGUAGGGGGCAAGCGUUGUCCGGAAUUAUUGGGCGUAAAGCGCGCGCAGGCGGUCUUUUAAGUUUGGUGUUUAAGCCCGGGGCUCAACCCCGGUUCGCACUGAAAACUGGGAGACUUGAGUGCAGGAGAGGAAAGCGGAAUUCCACGUGUAGCGGUGAAAUGCGUAGAGAUGUGGAGGAACACCAGUGGCGAAGGCGGCUUUCUGGACUGUAACUGACGCUGAGGCGCGAAAGCGUGGGGAGCAAACAGGAUUAGAUACCCUGGUAGUCCACGCCGUAAACGAUGAGUGCUAGGUGUUAGGGGUUUCGAUACCCUUGGUGCCGAAGUAAACACAAUAAGCACUCCGCCUGGGGAGUACGCUCGCAAGAGUGAAACUUAAAGGAAUUGACGG